UGAACACCAUUGAAAGUCAAUGGAGGACAAAUCCGUUUUCUAUUAAAAAAAAUUAUAUAUACCACUGCAAAUUUUUUUUAAACUGGAUGCCCACGUGAUCCAACAGCGAAAGUUCAACCUGCAAUUGAAAGGUUGAGAUUGCAGAGAUUGAUAUAUCUGUGUAUUACAAAGAUCUCAGAUCAAAAAUGCUUCACUUACCAAACUAUGAUAUGAAGAAAUUUAGGAUUGCGAUUCUAGAUUUCUAGCAGAAACUAAAAAUAAACCUAAUCUUUAUAACCUAUCAGUUACAAUAUAUAUAUAUGUUAUUAAUUAUUUAGAAUCAGGAUGCUUCAGGGAAAAUCAUUUUCUGACUAGAUUAGCUAAAUAAAACUUAAUUUAUAUCAGAGUUCAAUAGAAGCAGGUUAAUAAAAAAUAAAUGACCAUUGACUACUGGGCAGCACAAUGAAGAGUUUCCAUUCUUGCUAUAGCUGAUAAUUCCCCAAAGGUUAAGCCACAUAGGAUUCGAUAAAGAUCCUUUGCCAUUAGACAUCCCUGAGUUGUUCUUCUAUGGCACAAUUCAUAGUGGCGGGUAAACAGAAGAUGAGCCAAAGCACAUGCUCACUCGACAGCAGAAAUGUAUUCGAGUAUAAGCUGUUCCCCACAGAAACUGUAAGACCUAUCCAAGUGGAAGCACUCAAGCAUGUAGCAUGUAAAUUUCUUAAUAUUUCUGUAUGGGCUUGUUCUUUACAUCCUCAAUUGAAGUGGGAUACACGCUAACAUGGACAUAGUUUGGCUAAGCAAAAGUGCGCGGGAAAAAAACAAAAUACCAAAAGCAACAAUUUAACAUUAAGUGGCCCUCUAUUUUUCUGCCUAACACUGGUUCACUCAAAGCAGCUGAAGUAGUACUGGUAUAAAUAAGGCUUUAGUUCCUUGCGUAUUGGAAGAAGGUUACUGAGAAACAGCAAGCAAACAAAUUUUUACAACAGACGAGCAGCAAGUUCGGAAAUGCUAAAAAGCCAUUUGCAAAGGGAAAAAAAAAAAAAAAAAAUCACUGGGCUAAACUGGUGAAAAAUGGCACUAUCAAUAUAAACACUAUGGAAGGGGUUGGAAGCACUUGACUCCAGUUAGUGUUUGUGCACAUUUGCUGCCAGGUGUCAAGGGAAAAGUACUGUCAAGAGCAGUAUUAUGAGUUCAGUGUUAUUCACCCGACGUCCAAAAACGAGGUCCGUUACAUUAACCCGAGCCCCGGCUAAGGGUGCUCAAGGCCGAGUUACAACUUCUAUGAAGGGUGCAGCAUUUACAGACAGGGAAAUGAGAUAUUUACAUAUAUAGAAUGAAGAUGGAUCACCCCAACUGGGCUCCGUUAGGAAAAAACUCCAUCAAAAUGGAUUACAUGAGUGCAACACAGCUUCAUCAUGACUUUAUUGCCACAUGUAAGUCCAAAACUCUGGACAUGUCACCAGAGAGCAUGUGCAAACAUAAGAGAAGUGGCAAUGGGGGAAGGAUGGAGGUAGUGAGGAGCAGAGAACCUCUUACUGCAGGAGACGGUAGGUGACUUCAGAAAACACACUCCACACAAUUUACCUUAUUUGUGCUUCCAAUUCCAAGAAUCCAUUCGUUGAGGCUUUUAGUUUUAAUUUUGCUAAUUCAUUCAUAUAACUACUGCUAGAAACACCACAUCUAAGAGCAACUGGGGCUAAUUUUAUGUCAAGUUAAAAAAACAAAAAAAAAUAAAAAGAAAAACCCACUAACUGGUGACUGGUCACCCCAGAAGCGAGGAGGAUAAAUAGACAUUCUAACCUCUGGAACAGCUAAGAGUUUUUGCUUUGGUUUUUAAGCAAAGGCAUCCCUGUUUAUCUCAUGGGCCGGCCACAUCACUGCACAAGGUGUUGUGAAAUAUCGUAAUGGUACGUGCAAAGAGAUGGAACUGGGUGCCAGCUCUUUCCUCAAAAUGGAGACAAAUUCAUUUCCCAGAAAACAAAGAAAAAACAAAAAAAACAACUUGUGUUCUAAUGAGCUGCUAAACGUAACUAAACCAGUGCAUAAUACCAGCAGUGUCAUCAGUCUUGGCCCUCAGUACUUAAAUGUUAGUGUUUGUGCUUUAAGUAAUUACAGUGAAAUUAAUUUCAGUCUGAGAACACAAUAACCCUCUAAACCGUUGAUUUGUUCUACAUACUUAGUAGUUGCCUCAUUAUUUACUGCUAUAAUACCCCACCAUUUUGAUGGUACUAAUCUAAUGAUUAGCCCACUCCACGCUUGCUAUUAUUGAGCUCUCAGCACUGGGACAAUGAACAUAGGGACUAUCAGUCCAAGUUUGGGCUUUGCAUUUUUGGUUUACAGGCUGACAUUUGUUGGAGGAAAAAAAAAAAAGUGAACAAAGAUAACACUAUCGCCACGUUUCGAUGAUUUAUGGAUAUAUUGUAUUGCAAUUAAAUUAGAUGCAAACCUUAGAAUGUAAAAAAAAAAAAUAAACAAAAUAUUGCUAGAACAGAUUGGAUUUAUGCCAUAAAUUUGGCUACAAGUCACAUGAAUGGCUUUGUAGGCCAAUAUCAGCAACCAUGCAAACAUUUCUGGUAGCCCACUUUGAAUGCACGCCACAUACAUUGACAACCGCUUCAACACUUGAUGUGCUUCUGAACCUUGUCCAAAUUUAAACAUUUAAUUUUUUCAGAAUUUCACAUGUGAAAACUCUAGUAGUAGUUUUCCUGCUUUGGUCCAGUUUGGGAAAUGUACUUUGUUCCAUAUUGCAUCAAUAUGUUGCCUCACUGCCUUCAAACAUUGAGCGUGACAUUUCGGCUUCUCAAGAGGUGUACAGUACAUGAUAAAGCUUAACAGGCCUCUGAAGAGAAGACAAGAAAAGCAGAACACUGAAUUUAACCAUAUUUCAUAUGUUAUUUGUACCCAAAGUUUGGAACAUACAAUUGUGCCUGCAUAUUUAAAAAAAAUGCAACGGUUAGUGGUAAAUAAAAAAUAGGUCAAUUUUCUUGCCGCUGGUAUGAACGCCUUAAUUCAAACCGAUGGCCACCAGCCAUUACUUAACCCAAGAAGUGGCAAUCGCAUUUCAAUUUCAUUUUAAAUAUCUUGGUAUAUUACGUCAGAGGAUACAUUCAGCAAUAUGGCUCACGACAGCUAUCCAAACGGAUGUAGCUCCUUCUUUUAUACAGUGGCAGUGCAAGUAAACCUGUUUGUGAAAUGCAUUUGUGCUGUUUAGAAUUUUUUUUGUCUUUUUAAUUUUAAAAUUCUUUCCCAUUCACUUUCAAAACAUCAACAUCUCCAUAUGUAUCGUCUCUCCCACUGGAGAGUAAGCGCAGCAGUGAAGGACAUAGAUCAGCUCCUUCAUGCCCUUCCUUCACUUGUGUUGUUAAGGGAAAUCAAACCCUUAUACACCUUAACCCUGCACUGUGGUACUGACCCUUGUUCCACUGCAGCAGCAAUGACUUCUCGGUACCAGCAACAGUGACAGAGUCAUGAGAAAGUGCUUAUUAAUGAAGCAAGUGCUUUGUAUUAGGAGCUGAAAGAAACUUCCAUUAUCAGAGUGGCACAAAAGGGAGGACCCAAUGAAAGGUCUAGAAGACAUUUUUACCAGUCACCAGUGUUCAGUUUGGGUGAUAAUACACUGGGACAAAAAUUUAAAAAAAAUUAAAAAAAA